AAAUCAUAACACUUUCCCUCGUUUUUCAUUCUAUCCAUUUUGGCGCUUUUCCUCGUCUCGUCGAUCAGAGCACUCAGCAGUCUGUGGAGUGAACGUCUGAAGAGAUUAAAUAUUAGUUUGGGUUACUUGUGUAUUGAACACUGGUUUUUGCCCAUGGUACAAAUUUAUUUAAAUAUGCAGGAAGAAAUGUAACAAGGGCUAAGACUCCCAUCUGUAGUAGCAGCAGCAGUUGACAGUGAAAGUUAAUAAUGGAGGAGGAACUCAUCGUCUCAACUAUCCAAAAGUUUGGAACCACAUGUCUGAUUUUUCGAAUCGCGUCGAUGUCCGUCGAAAAAGGAUAUUUCGCCCCAUCCUCACAGCCAGGUCGUCGGAGUCCACUUCUGCACGACGAUUACUACUCCAAUCGUCCGCCAACUGGGCCGAUACGACACAGGCCAGCGCCAGAACUACGGCGACAAACUGAAAUGGGAUGAUGCAAAUGUAAUAGCAGAACGAAGGCAAACAAAAAAAAGUUAUAGUGAAGAAGAAGAAGCAUUCAUUGUUGAGAAAAUCCUGGGUAAAAGGGAGAAGAAUGGUGUAGUUGAAUAUCUUCUGAAAUGGAUUGCUUAUUCAGAUGAGGAAAAUACUUGGGAGCCCAAUUUAUUGAUGAGAUCAUUUGAACGAAUGAUACGCUCUUCGUGCUAC